rnacentral:rRNA from 1 species
UACAGAGGAUGCAAGCGUUAUCCGGAAUGAUUGGGCGUAAAGCGUCUGUAGGUGGCUUUUUAAGUCCGCCGUCAAAUCCCCGGGCUUAACCUGGGAAUGGCGUUUGGGACUGGGUCGCUAGAGUGUGGCAGAGGGAGGUGGAAUUCCACGUGUAGCAGUGAAAUGCGUAGAGAUGUGGAGGAACACCGAUGGCGAAGGCAGCCUCCUGGGCCAGCACUGACGCUCAUGCACGAAAGCGUGGGGAGCAAACAGG